rnacentral:rRNA from 1 species
AUGCAGAUUAUGCCUGAGUUGCAGGAGCUUUGUGGGGAAUCAUCUAUGGUGUUACCGAUGGAGCUGGGCUCAUUGGAGUCCUUGGUGGUGGCCAUGACACCCUCGCUACCUCAGUCGCCCGCCUUUGCGAACAAUGGAGACUUGGUUGGUUCUAUCACUGCCUCAUCUAUGGCCAUUGGGCAUGUGGCGUCUUUGAGUGGAGAGGUUGAUGAGACAUGUGUGUUGGCACCUAACUCUGAGCAAGUGGAGACGCCUGAGUCCAUCGUGUCAGUGAUACCUGUGACUGAUGAUGUUGAGGCGGUUGGUACAUUGGCGCCCGAUCCUUCUAAGCCCAACCAACAGCUCGCCCGUGUGGAGCGUGGAGGUUCCGAUGUUGCGGGCACCCACUCGCACGUGAUUGUUGGGCAGGUUUCUGUGCGUGACAAGGUCAAUGAGAUUCUCUUUCAGAUAGAGCUUCACAGCUUGCUCAAACGUUUGGAGAGGAUGAGCCCUGGAUCUGGCAAGGCGAUUGUGGAGGAGGCUCUCACGAGCAAAGGAAAGAAGAGUGGCGUCAUAGAAAAGGCGUCCGCAACUACUUGA